AUUGAACGCUGGCGGCAUGCCUUACACAUGCAAGUCGAACGGCAGCACGGGAGCAAUCCUGGUGGCGAGUGGCGAACGGGUGAGUAAUAUAUCGGAACGUGCCCGGUCGUGGGGAUAACGUAGCGAAAGCUACGCUAAUACCGCAUACGAUCUACGGAUGAAAGCGGGGGAUCGCAAGACCUCGCGCGAUUGGAGCGGCCGAUAUCAGAUUAGGUAGUUGGUGAGGUAAAGGCUCACCAAGCCGACGAUCUGUAGCUGGUCUGAGAGGACGACCAGCCACACUGGGACUGAGACACGGCCCAGACUCCUACGGGAGGCAGCAGUGGGGAAUUUUGGGACAAUGGGCGCAAGCCUGAUCCAGCAAUGCCGCGUGCAGGAUGAAGGCCUUCGGUUGUAACUAGCUUUGUUACGGUAACGAACGGUACGAGCGUCUAAUACAGUUUG
rnacentral:rRNA from 1 species